rfam:Hordeum vulgare subsp. vulgare, WGS project CAJW01000000 data, contig: morex_contig_1561881
UUAGUACUCCCUCCGUCCGAAAAUACUUGUCGUAGGAAUUGAUGUAUCUAGAUGUAUUUUAGUUCUAGAUACAUCCAUUUAUAUCAUUUUUGUGACAAGUAAUUCCGGACGGAGGGAGUAGUUA